CCUGCCGCUGCCAGGCCUCUUCACCCCCCAGCCCGGCCCCUCCUCUUGCCCCCUCUCACCCAGCCUGGGCAGCCUGGCCGUCCCUGCGCCCUGGGAGCGGGGACUUUUUCCUACCUUAUUUGGCAGCAGGAGAGCUUGUCAUUUAAGUGGGUGUAUCUUACCUCUUAACAAUUACACUACAGCAUGAGCCUCGAAAAGGCAGGGCCCGUCCCAUUCUGGGAUGGCACACCUUGACCACCAAGAGCAAGACUGAUUUUUAACAGAUGGGCUUGAAUGCCAUGCUGGUGAUCUUUAUCACCUGGGGAGGCCUCUACUGUUGCCUUUGCAGCAACUGUUCUAGAUUGGUCUUCAGAGACUACUUAAAACCUCAGGAAACCCAGGGUCUGGGGAGGGGAGGAGAUUUCAGUGAUAGCCUCAGGGACAUUAGGCCGACAGUUGGGCUUACAGAGAAAGUGAGGGACUCCUCAGGUAGGCAUUCCCUGGGGUCCAGAUGCUCCUGCCAGGGGUGGAGCUCAGCCUCACAGGGAUGGGAGGACAGCCUUGUCCCUGGGUGCUGGGCGAGGGAGUCUCCUUCAUGAGUCACAAGAGGCCUUGGGAGCCAUGUGGAUUGUAUAAACAUAAAGUCUUCCUUCAAUCUUGUUUAGUAAGGCAGCAUGUAAAUGUGUGACCUCUCCCCUUUCUCCUUUCCUUCCUCAUGUGUGGAGUGCCUACGCUGUGCCAAGCACUGGGGAUCCACAAAAUGAUAAAAUUGAUACCAUUCUAUAUUUGUAAGGAGGAAAACAAUGUGUAGUAUAAGGGACAUUUGCCAUGCAUUAUGAGUACCAGUACUUUUUGAUGAACUUUCCUGUGUUUGUGGGGUUUCCCUACAUCAUAAAUCUCACUUCUCUGAAGGAAAGGCCAGAAAUUUACUUUCCCAGACUCCUUUGCAACAAAGGUGUCGGCAGGUGACUUAGGCUCCACCGAUCAGAAACAUCCACGUGAGGUUUUGAUUUGUAAUAGAGCAACAGGAAGCAGUCAUCCUAGGGAAGGGGGUACAGGAAGAGGCAUCUGGCCUUCAGAGCAACAGGAGGGGAUGUUCAAAGGUCCAAUUUCCACCAUUGGUGAAGGGGGUGAGGAAACUAAAGCCCUGGGACGUUUAAUGUCAUAUAGGGCGGCUGCAGAACUAGGAUGUGCAGUGUGGCCUCUGGGCUCUAACAUCAGUGAGCUUCACUGCUGCACUGUACUGCAUGGAACAGAUUCUGGAAGGGAUUGCAACAAUUUCCAAAGGAGAAGGGAAAGGAGUCCUCCUGCUGGAGCAGGUUGGAAGCCACUGAGCCAGGCUAUCAUCCCGGCUCAGCAGAGACCGAGUCAUGAGACCUGAGGUCCUUGAGAUGACCUCAUAUAAACACCACCAAGGGACUAGCACAGUGGCCCAGCGCACAGAAGGGGCUUAAUACAUGCUCCCUCUGAUGUACCAUGGGGUCUCACCUGAUGUCUGGGCCUCCCUUCAGUGGAGGCAGUGGGGGGUCAGUCUGUGUUCCAGGCAAAGGAGUGGUUAGGCAGGAACAGAACCCUAGGGCAGGGGUCAGCAGUCCCUACUCUGUUGGCAGUGCUAACCGGCUCAGACCAGCCCGAGGAUGGACCGUCUCACUCUCCACCAGAAUUGCCACCAUCCAACCCUUCUUCUCUCUGGAGCAGGGCAGCUUCUCAAGACCUGUCAGUGCUUAACCCAUGAACCUCACCAUGGAGUGCACGGAGCCCUGGACCCUCCUUUCUCAGAGCAUGGUGUGAGACUAGCUGCAUCAACUUCACCUGGGAGCUACUUAGAAAUGCAGAAUCUCGGGCCCACUGUAGGCCACUGAAUCAGAAUCUGGAUUUUUCCAAGAUACCAAGUUGAUUACAUUAAUGUCUGAGAAAACUUGGUCUGGAUGAUGCAUGCCUUGGGGAGGUUGGAGGAAAGGAAUUGAAGCUCCCUAAGGGGGCCUCCUGAGAGGGAGACUCAUCCACAAGCCUGGUUCGAUGGAAGGAAGUGAACACAGAGGAAAAGGCUGAGGAAGGCACUCCAGGAAAACAUGCUGAAAUAGGCAGGUGCCUUUAAUGUUUUUAGUUUAAUUUUAAUUUUAUUUUUCAUAGGCAAUUCACUCACAUGGUUAAAAUUCCAAGGAUGCAGAAGGAUAUGUCAGACAGCUUCUUUCCCACACCUGUCUCCCAGCCGUUUCCUCUCUCAAAAGCAACGUGUGUUACUAGGCGAGAGGUAUAAGAUAUUAUGCAAAUAAAACUCUGUGUGUGUGUUCUUAACUUACCAACCCCUUUUUAAAAAUUCAAAUGGUAGUUUGCCAUA